rnacentral:rRNA from 1 species
UACGAAGGGGGCUAGCGUUGUUCGGAUUUACUGGGCGUAAAGCGCACGUAGGCGGAUCGUUAAGUCGGGGGUGAAAUCCUGGAGCUCAACUCCAGAACUGCCUUCGAUACUGGCGAUCUUGAGUCCGGAAGAGGUGAGUGGAAUUCCUAGUGUAGAGGUGGAAUUCGUAGAUAUUAGGAAGAACACCAGUGGCGAAAGGCGGCUCACUGGUCCGGUACUGACGCUUGAGGUGCGAAAGCGUGGGGAGCAAACAGGA